AGCGAACGCUGGCGGCAGGCCUAACACAUGCGAGUCGAACGAAGUCUUCGGACUUAGUGGCGGACGGGUGAGUAACACGUGGGAACGUGCCUUUAGGUUCGGAAUAACUCAGGGAAACUUGUGCUAAUACCGAAUGUGCCCUUCGGGGAAAGAUUUAUCGCCUUUAGAGCGGCCCGCGUCUGAUUAGCUAGUUGGUGAGGUAAAGGCUCACCAAGGCGACGAUCAGUAGCUGGUCUGAGAGGAUGAUCAGCCACAUUGGGACUGAGACACGACCCAAACUCCUACGGGAGGCAGCAGUGGGGAAUCUUGCGCAAUGGGCGAAAGCCUGACGCAGCCAUGCCGCGUGAAUGAUGAAGGUCUUAGAAUUGUAAAAUUCUUUCACCGGGGACGAUAAUGACGGUACCCGGAGAAGAAGCCCCGGCUAACUUCGUGCCAGCCGCCGCAGUAAAAC
rnacentral:rRNA from 1 species